GAUGAACGCUGGCGGCGUGCCUAAUACAUGCAAGUCGAGCGAACCACUUCGGUGGUGAGCGGCGAACGGGUGAGUAACACGUAGGUGAUCUGCCCAUCAGACGGGGACAACGAUUGGAAACGAUCGCUAAUACCGGAUAGGACGAAAGUUUAAAGGUGCUUCUGGCACCGCUGAUGGAUGAGCCUGCGGCGCAUUAGCUAGUUGGUAGGGUAAGGCCUGCCUAGGCGACGAUGCGUAGCCGACCUGAGAGGGUGAACGGCCACACUGGGACUGAGACACGGCCCAGACUCCUACGGGAGGCAGCAGUAGGGAAUCUUCGGCAAUGGGCGAAAGCCUGACCGAGCAACGCCGCGUGAAUGAUGAAGGCCUUCGGGUUGUAAAAUUCUGUUAUAAGGGAAGAACGACUUUAGUAGGAAAUGGCUAGAGUGUGACGGUACCUUAUGAGAAAGCCACGGCUAACUACGUGCCAGCCGCCGCCGUAAAAC
rnacentral:rRNA from 1 species